rnacentral:lncRNA from 1 species
CGGCCGCGCCACGGCAGGCUCGGCGUCCCUGCAGCCGGGCCUCACAGAUACGCAUGCGCUGCCCGCCUGUCGCCUGUCGCGCGGAGGCGGGGGCACUGGUUAGGAAGAGAAUGAAGUACAAAUCAUAAUGGUCAUCACUCAGUGAACACACUCCCUUAAGCACCAUCCAGGAUGUUUAGCUGGUUUUUAAAGGAGAAAGAGACCGCUGAGAGAAAACACUGGAGUGGCAGCCCAGGCAGCCGUGCCUGCAGGAGGAUGCCUCCCAGCAGAACAGAGUCCUCACUUUCUGCACUUGAACUGUGUGGU